rnacentral:rRNA from 1 species
GUUAAGCGACUAAGCGUACACGGUGGAUGCCCUGGCAGUCAGAGGCGAUGAAGGACGUGCUAAUCUGCGAUAAGCGUCGGUAAGGUGAUAUGAACCGUUAUAACCGGCGAUUUCCGAAUGGGGAAACCCAGUGUGAUUCGUCACACUAUCAUUAACUGAAUCCAUAGGUUAAUGAGGCGAACCGGGGGAACUGAAACAUCUAAGUACCCCGAGGAAAAGAAAUCAACCGAGAUUCCCCCAGUAGCGGCGAGCGAACGGGGAGCAGCCCAGAGCCUGAAUCAGUGUGUGUGUUAGUGGAAGCGUCUGGAAAGGCGUGCGAUACAGGGUGACAGCCCCGUACACAAAAAUGCACAUACUGUGAGCUCGAUGAGUAGGGCGGGACACGUGGUAUCCUGUCUGAAUAUGGGGGGACCAUCCUCCAAGGCUAAAUACUCCUGACUGACCGAUAGUGAACCAGUACCGUGAGGGAAAGGCGAAAAGAACCCCGGCGAGGGGAGUGAAAAAGAACCUGAAACCGU